rnacentral:rRNA from 1 species
CCUACGGGGGGCAGUAGUGAGGAAUAUUGGUCAAUGGGCGGAAGCCUGAACCAGCCAAGUCGCGUGAGGGAUUAAGGCCCUGCGGGUCGUAAACCUCUUUUGCCGGGGAGCAGAGGUCCGGACGUGUCCGGGCCGGGAGAGUACCCGGAGAAAAAGCAUCGGCUAACUCCGUGCCAGCAGCCGCGGUAAUACGGAGGAUGCGAGCGUUAUCCGGAUUUAUUGGGUUUAAAGGGAGCGUAGGCGGAUUGAUAAGUUAGAGGUGAAAUGUCCGAGCUUAACUCGGGAACUGCCUCUAAUACUGUUGAUCUAGAGAGUAGAUGCGGUAGGCGGAAUGUAUGGUGUAGUGGUGAAAUGCUUAGAGAUCAUACAGAACACCGAUUGCGAAGGCAGCUUACUAAACUGUGACUGACAUUGAUGCUCGAAAGUGUGGGUAUCAAACAGGAUUAGAUACCCCUGUAGUC